CUCCUCCAGUGCCUCAAGUGCCUCCGCAGCCAGCCUUGUAUGAGGACAACACAAUUGCCUUGAUUAGGGAGUUUAAGAAGAUGAAAUCGCUGAAAUUCUCAGGGGGUAUAGAGCCGAUGAAGGCCAAGGCGUGGGUUUUGGAAAUGGAGAAGCUAUUUGAGAUCUUUCCUAGCACCGACGCUCAGAAGGUGACAUUGGCAGAAUUCACAUUAGACGACGACGCUCGAAGGUGGUGGAUGAUGAU
rnacentral:misc_RNA from 1 species